AUGUCUCAAACGGAAAUACUCUGGUACAACACUCCUAAAAAGUACAUAAAUUCUCUUUGAAAUCUUAGGAGAAAAAGCAAUGGCAUUAAGCUACAGCCUUGCAUCUAGUUUGCCAACGGGCAUCUUUCAUCCUCAAAUUCAAACCGUACCUUGAAUGUAGAAGUUCAGAGUAAGAAAUUUAACCACAAACCCUGAGGAGACUACAGAGUAGCUUGUGGAGUCAGGCAAGUCCCAGCCCUAGGGCCCUAACACAGCUGGCCUGGGUAGUACAGGACCCCUAACCUACAGAAAUAGUUCAAC
rnacentral:lncRNA from 1 species